rnacentral:misc_RNA from 1 species
GUUCCUUUCGUUUUUCUCUCUCUAGAGGCUUAAAGGAUUCUUUCAGAAGCUUGAUUUUAUCAACAUAUAACUACCAGCUAAAAGUACGUGCUUCACUGAUAACUCAUCAGCAAAGUUGCCAACUGCUCCUAGGACAUCAACUUAUAUUUGGCUAUGGCAACUAAUGAAAAUCUGCCACCAAACGUGAUAAAACAAUUGGCGAAGGAAUUGAAAAA